UUACAUGAAGACAAAAGUGCUGACUGCAUAUUUUCAGAAUUUCAGUCACCAUCAACUUCUCCUGCCUGAGAGCUUGUUGGUUUCAGGACCGUGGGAGACAUGAGGAAUGGAUCUGGAUGCGACUUGCAGAUUGAAGCCAAUCCCAGCUGAGCAUAAUGCAAAUCAGUUGUCCCUCAGCUAACUCAUGCACAUAAACGAAUUC
rnacentral:lncRNA from 1 species